UGAUUGUCCAAACGCAAUUCUAGAGUUGAGUCUGGACGUCCCG
rnacentral:pre_miRNA from 1 species